GAAUCUCAUCAUCAAGCAAGUGUAGGAUAACGAACACCAAGCAAUUUUACAUCAUCUAUGACGGGUCCACAAAGCGAACCAGAGUUAUCACUCUUCAUGGUGUAAAAUGUGCUUAGGAACCUAAGGCGAGUACGUGUUGAGACGGCCUUGAACCGAAGCUUGCCUCUGACAAACCCUCCUUUACCCUUAGAUUGAUAUGGAACUUGGACGGUGUUCGUGCCAGCAAAUGCUUCUACCAUCAUGGAACUUUCACAUGCAUUGUUGGCAUCACCCACGGCGAAGGUGAGGUCAUAAGUCUUGCCAAUUGUAGUAAUCACUACCUGUGCAAGGGCACUUUCUUUCCCUGCAACAAGUUCAAUAGCUCUUUUUCCCUCAGGCACAGCAAAGUGAUCAGAAUCAAUGUAUUUCACCGCCUUAAGAGACUCAACAAUCCAUCCUGGCAAAGGACCGUGAGAAUCCUCUAUAUGCGGUGGGAUCAAAGCCCCCCAAGACGAGUUGGGAAAUAUAUAUGGACCUUCUUCGAAAUUGCCAUUUUUCAACAAAUUGGCUGCACCACAUUAAAAACCCAGUUUUAAAAUUUUGUUGUGUAAUGCAAAUGUACACACAAUUGGUUAAAGAGAGAAAAAGUUAUGCUUUCUGUGAAAAAAAAUUUACUUAAUCAUUUAAUCAAACAUAUUAUUUAUCAUAAAUUCAUUAAGUAAUUAUCUUAAUAUAAUUCAAAUAAUAAUUUAUAAUUCGAUAAUAAUAUAAAACUGUUUUAUACUCUUACUCUAGACAUUAAACCCAUGCCGAUUAGGACUAUGCAUGCUAAAAAGUUAGGAGUAUUGACCUCUUGUUCUUUUGGGUGGGUACAAAACCUUGAGGGCAACGGAAUCAAUGAGGGGACCACAAGCUGGAUCCUCUUCUUUGCCAGGGUUAUGGAUGACAAUUUGAGCUUCUGGGAAAUCUGCUCGGAAGCCACAAGUGAAAGACUCCCAGCCAUUGCUACCAUACAUAGUCUGAAUGGGGAUGAUGCCCCAGUCCCUCUUCUCAGUGGUUGGAACCACUGACACGUUGAGCUUCUCCUCUUGUGCACAGGUUCGAGCGGCACUGAAGGUGAUGGAGUAGAAGGACCCCUUAAUCAGCUUCAGCUUCUGCUUAAUGGAAGCUUCAUUGCCAAGUCUAACUGCAUAGUCACCCUCAG
rnacentral:lncRNA from 1 species